UACGUAGGGGGCAAGCGUUGUCCGGAAUUAUUGGGCGUAAAGCGCGCGCAGGCGGCGAUUUAAGUCUGGUGUUUAAACCAUGGGCUCAACCUGUGGUCGCAUCGGAAACUGGAUGGCUUGAGUGCAGAAGAGGAAAGUGGAAUUCCACGUGUAGCGGUGAAAUGCGUAGAGAUGUGGAGGAACACCAGUGGCGAAGGCGACUUUCUGGGCUGUAACUGACGCUGAGGCGCGAAAGCGUGGGGAGCAAACAGG
rnacentral:rRNA from 1 species